ensembl:lncRNA LINC02436 long intergenic non-protein coding RNA 2436
GAUUGUCCUGAGUUCCAGAGCCUCAAAGAGCACCCAGCAUAACUGUGGGAGAAUAGUAAGCAUUGGACACAAAAUGGAAAAGCUGACCUUCUGGUACGGAAGAGCAUGAGCAGUGAGUGAGCAGUGCCCAUGCGUUGUGAGGCGGCCUCCAUGGUAUAAGGCAUCUAUUCAACGAAGACGAAUCCUGGAAUGGGGAUGGAAAUGAUGGCUCAUGUCUUAGCAAACUACCAGUACGUCUACUAGAACCGGAACUGAUCCGAGAGGACAGGGAAGUCAGUGUGGGCGGCUCUAAGGAGCCUCCCUCUCUACAGCUGCGGCUCAGAGGAUUACGGCGCUUCAUCCACAAGGCAACAUUGCACAAGUAGCUUUUGAACAAAAGUCAUGGAUACUAUUAAUGAUAUGUUCCCACACACAUUUAGUGUCGUCUCAAAAUUCACGCUGUCAACUGUCUCUAGGAAUCAUUUCCAUCUGAGAACAGACCACACAAAGGUUUAGUGCAACUAGGGACUAAACACCAGUCAUCUCCAGGACUUGACUUCAUCAUUUGCCUGUUCACCAUUGUAUCCCUAGAAUCUGUAACAACAACCAGAAGACACAGUGAAACUCAGUUUCUGCAGAAUUUGAUUUCAUUUGAGUUACUGGGGAACAAAGCAAUUAGACAAUGAAUAAUAGCUCAAGACAGGCUGAAGCUGAAGAUUUCUGCAAAAGAAUGAAGAGGAAACGUUUUGAUCCUGAGCAGAUGUUCUCCCUAGAUUGCUUCACCUGAGGUUGAUUGACUUUUGGAAACGAGAUUUGUUCCCAGUGCUUUGUGAGUCUCUUGUUGGAAGGACUGUCUUUAAAUUAAAGCAAUUAGAGUUACUUUAUAAGAUUUACCCAAAUAUAAGAGCUGAAGAGAAUAAUUCAAAUUGAUCAGAAGAAAAUACUCAAUUACUGACAAAUGUCAAUUACAUCAAUAGCCUAGGCUGCUCUUGAACUCCUGGGCUCAAACGAUCCUCCCCUGUCGGCCUCCCAAAGUGCUGGGAUUACAAGCUUGAACCACCAUGCCCAGCCUCAGAAAUUUUUUAAAUGACAGCUCAUACAGUUUUCUUUUAUAAAGGAGGAGAAAAUGUGUAAUUGUAAGCAGCUGAACUAAAAUAUCUCUGUGACAUUUUGCUGGUGACUCCAGCCCUGUGAGAUCUGAGUGGCUCAGGAAUCAAAUUCUCCCACAAACCUGAGGAAGCCUUUUAUUCUUAAUGCCAACAGGAUGCCCCAUGCCCAGAAUGUCAAAUCUGAACACCAAUGGAAUGCAUUUUAUAAACAAAUUGAAAAAGGACAAUCUUUAACAGAAUUGUUGUUCUCUAGGCAGAUUAGUUGUGCUUCAAAUACAAAAUGAAAUAUUAGAGAACAAAAUUAUUUUUAAACAGCUAAUACUAGUAGAAAAUAAAAGGCUGAAAAGUG